ACCCACGCGCGGCCCUCCUGCACCUCGGCCAGCACUCGUAGCGCGCUGGGCGAGCCGGACCGGAAGUUGAAGAAGUGAAGCGCCGCGCGCGCCGCCUGCUGCAGGAGCCUGCGCGGGACCCCAGCAUCCUGAGGCUGCCCAGGGUCGUCGGGGUCCCCGGACCCCGCGGGCGCCGCCACCGGGGCGAGCAACAGCAGCAGCGCGAGCAGCGGGGCGGUGGGGCGCGGGCCCCUGGGCCCGGACCAGGGAGCAGGCAGCCGUUGCCGGCGGGGCUGCAUGGACGCAGGAAAGUUGGCUCGGCACCCGACAGACACGGGCUCGGAGCGGGCAGUGCCGGCGCUCGCGGAAAUAAGGCCGUGGUGGGCCCCUCCCCUCCGCCCCCAGGGCGAAGAUAAUUGUGAAACACCUGUGCCAGGCCCUGGGGGAAUGAGGGUGAACAAUCUUAAACAUCUCUGCCUUCCUGGAGCACACCUUCUAGGUUGCACAGUGGCUCAGAGAGUAGACUUGGAGCCAGGCUGCCCGGUUUUAUAGCCCUGCUUGACCUGUGUGAUCCGAGAAUAAUCUUGUUUAAUCUCCACAAGUUUGAGGACUAAACUGGGUGCCACAGAGAAUUAAGUAACUGGUCGAGGUUGUAUCAGUAAGAAGGGAGCACGGAACAGAUUCAAGCUCAGGCCCUGAGAGAGGAUGGGUAGGAGCUCUCCACGAAGGAGGCCCAAAGUGGUCCGUUCCUCCACGCUGGCACUCUCCUCACUAGGAACAUUUUCUUCUCAUCAUUGGCAGUGUGGGCUGGGCACGGUGGCUCAUGCCUAUAAUCCCAACAAUUUGGGAGGCAGAGACAGGAGGAUUGCUUGAGUCCAGAAGUUCGAGACCAGCCUGGCCAACAUAGUGAGACCCUGUCUCUAUUCACAUAUUUAAAAAUUAAAAGAAGUUUGGCAGCGUGUUCAGGAAGGACAGGACCUACUUCGAUCAUCUUACGACCAUGAGACAGGAUGGAGAAGGGAAGAAGCUUACACUUGGCAAUCUUCUAGGGAGGACUUUGGCUGAACCCAGUGAACCAGGAGGAAAAGAAUCACAAACAUCUGGAGUUUGUUGACUAGAAAAAUUCCUUGUGGUCUGACAGAUUACCAUUUCCUACCCAGCCAUUCUCAUCAGAGAAACCAGUCCCAUUUUCAACUGGCGCGGCUAGUUGAAAGUUCCACAUGUUUCCCCAGAAAAUGGCAUAGCCAGAAGGCCCUCACCAGAUUCCAGCACCAGCCUCCAGAACAUGAGCCAAAUAAAUCAUCGUUUAUAAAUUACCCAGUCUCAGGUAUUCUGUUUUAGCAACACAAAACAGACAAAAACAACCAUGUUUACUUGGCUGGUUGCCCCAUCUUUCUUGAAUGGAAAAAAAAAAAGCACUUGAAAUAGUCUGUGGAAAUUCUACCCAGUUUGGAAAUGCUGCUGAAUUCUCAUGUCUCUAGGCCCAGUUCACAACCCUCACUGAGCUGAUGCUACCAGGUAAAAAGCGAGCAAUUACGGUGUGCUGACCAUUUG
rnacentral:lncRNA from 10 species